GGACUACUGGGGUAUCUAAUCCUGUUUGCUCCCCUAGCUUUCGCGCCUCAGCGUCUGUUUCAGCCCAGAAAACCGUCUUCACCACCGGUGUUCUUCCACAUAUCUACGCAUUUCACCGCUACACGUGGAAUUCCGUUUUCCCUAACUGAACUCGAGUCGAUUAGUUUCAAAUGCAGCUCCGGGGUUGAGCCCCGGAAUUUCACAUCUGACUGAUUCGACCGCCUACGCGCCCUUUACGCCCAGUAAUUCCGAUCAAUGCUUGCACCCUCCGUAUUACCGCGGCUGCUGGCAC
rnacentral:rRNA from 1 species